rnacentral:rRNA from 1 species
CCCUUAGUCGAGGCCGAAAGGCGUAGACGAUGGAAAGCAGGUUAAUAUUCCUGCGCCGCGUUAUGGGGGACGUUGUGUGAAUCGAAGUCGGGGUGCUGGUCAUCCCCGUGCCGCAAGGCCGAGUCCAUUUGAUGACGAAGCUUCCUGAAACACAACCAAGAAAAGCCCAUACAUCAGCGACCGUACUAAAACUGACACAGGUAGGUGAGGCGCGUAGCCUCAGGCGCUCGGGAAAACGCUGGUUAAGGAACUCUGCAAAUUUGCCCCGUAACUUCGGGAUAAGGGGUGCCAUCGCAAGAUGGUCACAGCAAAGCGGCGCUAGCGACUGUUUACUAAAAACACAGGUCUCUGCGAACUCGUAAGAGGAUGUAUAGAGACUGACGCCUGCCCGGUACCGGUAAGUUAAUAAAGAGGGUUAGCCUUCGGGCAAAGCCCGCAAUUGAAGCUCCGGUAAACGGCGGCCGUAACUAUGACGGUCCUAAGGUAGCGAAGUUCCUUGUCGGGUAAGUUCCGACCUGCAUGAAUGGCGUAACGACUGGCGCACUGUCUCAACCAGCGACCCGGUGAAAUUGCAGUCGUGGUGAAGAUACCACGUACCCGCAGCAAGACGGAAAGACCCCAUGAACCUUUACUGUAGGCUGAUACUGUCACUUGGCAUGUUUUGUGUAGGAUAGGUGGGAGGCUUUGAAGUCGGUACGCCAGUAUCGAUGGAGCCAUCCUUGAAAUACCACCCUGAACCUGUUAGGUGUCUAACGCGGUCCCGUGAACCCGGGCUGCGGACACUGUCAGUUGGGCAGUUUGACUGGGGCGGUCUCCUCCUAAAGUGUAACGGAGGAGCUCAAAGGUACCCUCAGCCUGGUUGGCAAUCAGGCGAAGAGCGUAAAGGUAGGAGGGUGCUUGACUGCGAGACCUAUAAGUCGAGCAGAAACGAAAGUUGGACUGAGUGAUCCGGCGGUUCCGAAUGGAAGGGCCGUCGCUCAACGGAUAAAAGGUACUCUGGGGAUAACAGGCUGAUCCCGCCCGAGCGUCCAUAGCGGCGGCGGGGUUUGGCACCUCGAUGUCGGCUCAUCACAUCCUGGGGGUGAAGAAGCUCCCAAGGGUUCGGCUGUUCGCCGAUUAAAGUGGUACGUGAGCUGGGUUUAAACCGUCGUGAGACAGGUUGGUCCCUAUCUGCUGUGGGCGCACGAAACUUGAGGGGUAUUCUCUUUAGUACGAGAGGAUUUAGAGGGACGUACCUCUGGUGUUCCUGUUGUCACGCCAGUGGCAGCGCAGGGUAGCUAUGUACGGUUGUGAUAAACGCUGAAAGCAUAUAAGCGUGAAGCCAUCCCCAAGAUAAGGUUUCGUUGAACUUUGUUCUAAACUCCCCUGGAAGACUACCAGGUUGAUAGGCUGGCUGUGAAAGGCGUGCAAGCGUUUGAGCUGACCAGUACUAAUGGAGGAAUAUCUAGCCAC